rnacentral:rRNA from 1 species
AGUGAACGCUGGCGGUAGGCCUAACACAUGCAAGUCGAACGGCAGCACAGUAAGAGCUUGCUCUUACGGGUGGCGAGUGGCGGACGGGUGAGGAAUACAUCGGAAUCUACUUUUUCGUGGGGGAUAACGUAGGGAAACUUACGCUAAUACCGCAUACGACCUACGGGUGAAAGCAGGGGAUCUUCGGACCUUGCGCGAUUGAAUGAGCCGAUGUCGGAUUAGCUAGUUGGCGGGGUAAAGGCCCACCAAGGCGACGAUCCGUAGCUGGUCUGAGAGGAUGAUCAGCCACACUGGAACUGAGACACGGUCCAGACUCCUACGGGAAGCAGCAGUGGGGAAUAUUGGACAAUGGGCGCAAGCCUGAUCCAGCCAUACCGCGUGGGUGAAGAAGGCCUUCGGGUUGUAAAGCCCUUUUGUUGGGAAAGAAAAGCAGCAGGUUAAUACCCCGCUGUUCUGGCGGUACCCAAAGAAUAAGCACCGGCUAACUUCGUG